ensembl:lncRNA
GCUUUAACAAAACACACUCCACACGAAAUUUUAGUUCCAGAAAAAAAUCCUUCCGUUUGUUCACCCGCCACUAACAAGCAAAUGGCUAGCUGGGGUACUUUUUAAGGCACAAUUUUGUAUGUGAUGAGGUAGUAAGCAUAUUUUUUGGGAGGAAGGUGCCGAAUAAUCAUCUUUGAGCAUGACGGCAGUAAUUCACGAGUUACUGUCCUCCGUUAUGGGGGUGUUAGUUGAAAGUGUCGUGUCGGAGUUGAGCAAACAUCUCUCUGACUUCACGACUGUCUUAUCUGAGGAGUGGAAGCGCAACAAGGGGACGGCAGUGAACAAAAACCGACUUAAACAGGCGAAUCAAGCCAAAACUAAGGAGUUUGCUGAUUUCAUGGAGCUGUUGAGUAAAGCCACAGUAGAGACGAUGGUGAAACUGAUUCAUGAUCACAUCUCAGCUCAAGUACCGGAAGCUACAGCAAAGUCUCAGCUCUCAAAACAAGACAAACUAAAUGAGGGUCAAGCAGCCACAUCUGAGUCUGAAAAUAAUGUGCUUCUUGAGUCUGAACAGAACAAGGAUUAUGAAAUGGAAUCAGAACAUCAUGAAAACUCUGGACAAGCAGCAAAUCAGUACCAACAGCUGUCAUCUGCACCCACAGAUAUUCUGGCAGGCAGUUUAAGUUUGAGUGAAAGCCAGCCUUCCACAAGCACGAACGUAGCUGCUGAGGAGAGACAUGAGCCUUUAAUUUGUGAGUCCUGUGGAGUAUCGUUCAAUGACAUGGCCCUGUUAAACAUUCACAAUGCUUUACACAAAGAAAGACCUUUCAAUUGUUUGACAUGUGGGAAUACUUUCAAAAUGAUGAAAUGCUUGAUGAAACACCAGAGAUUUCACAUGAGUCCGGAUUUGAGUAUUGAGUUCGAAGCCACUCUGAAUGAAGAAGAAUUCAUUGUGCAACUUGAAACCUGUGAUACUGUCAAUACAUCACUGGAAACACUAGAGGUCACCACUCAAGGUAAGACAUGAUUUCAAAUGCAGCUUAAAGGGAUAGUUCACCCAAAAAUGAAAAUUACCCCA